UUUCCGUAGGUGAACCUGCGGAAGGAUCAUUGUCGAAACCUGCAAAAGCAGACCGCGAACACGUAAAACCAUCGGGAUUUCGAUCCCCUUCCCGUGCGCGUUAGCCUCACGGGCUAACGAACCCCGGCGCGGCAUGCGCCAAGGAAUACUCAUAGAAACGUCCUCCCUCGUCGCCCCGUUCUCGGUGCGCCGCGGGGGGCGUCUCUCAAAGUCUAAACGACUCUCGGCAACGGAUAUCUCGGCUCUCGCAUCGAUGAAGAACGUAGCGAAAUGCGAUACUUGGUGUGAAUUGCAGAAUCCCGUGAACCAUCGAGUCUUUGAACGCAAGUUGCGCCCGAAGCCUUUUGGCUGAGGGCACGUCUGCCUGGGCGUCACGCAUCGCGUCGCAUCCCAACUCUCGCCCCGGAAGUUGGUCCCCCGUGCGCACAAGCGCGCGGUCGGCCUAAAUGCGAACCCGCGCCGACUCGCGUCGCGACCAGUGGUGGUUGAACACUCAACUCUCGUGCUGUCGUGGCGAAGCUCGCGCGCCGGGAAACGUCGCUGACCCAAAGGCUGGAGGUUCUUCGGCUUUCGACCGCGACCCCAGGUCAGGCGGGAUUACCCGCUGAGUUUAA
rnacentral:rRNA from 1 species